UUAAGCGACUAAGCGUACACGGUGGAUGCCCUGGCAGUCAGAGGCGAUGAAGGACGUGCUAAUCUGCGAUAAGCGUCGGUAAGGUGAUAUGAACCGUUAUAACCGGCGAUUUCCGAAUGGGGAAACCCAGUGUGAUUCGUCACACUAUCAUUAACUGAAUCCAUAGGUUAAUGAGGCGAACCGGGGGAACUGAAACAUCUAAGUACCCCGAGGAAAAGAAAUCAACCGAGAUUCCCCCAGUAGCGGCGAGCGAACGGGGAGCAGCCCAGAGCCUGAAUCAGUGUGUGUGUUAGUGGAAGCGUCUGGAAAGGCGCGCGAUACAGGGUGACAGCCCCGUACACAAAAAUGCACAUGCUGUGAGCUCGAUGAGUAGGGCGGGACACGUGGUAUCCUGUCUGAAUAUGGGGGGACCAUCCUCCAAGGCUAAAUACUCCUGACUGACCGAUAGUGAACCAGUACCGUGAGGGAAAGGCGAAAAGAACCCCGGCGAGGGGAGUGAAAAAGAACCUGAAACCGUGUACGUACAAGCAGUGGGAGCACAGAGCAAUCUGUGUGACUGCGUACCUUUUGUAUAAUGGGUCAGCGACUUAUAUUCUGUAGCAAGGUUAACCGAAUAGGGGAGCCGAAGGGAAACCGAGUCUUAACUGGGCGUUAAGUUGCAGGGUAUAGACCCGAAACCCGGUGAUCUAGCCAUGGGCAGGUUGAAGGUUGGGUAACACUAACUGGAGGACCGAACCGACUAAUGUUGAAAAAUUAGCGGAUGACUUGUGGCUGGGGGUGAAAGGCCAAUCAAACCGGGAGAUAGCUGGUUCUCCCCGAAAGCUAUUUAGGUAGCGCCUCGUGAAUUCAUCUCCGGGGGUAGAGCACUGUUUCGGCAAGGGGGUCAUCCCGACUUACCAACCCGAUGCAAACUGCGAAUACCGGAGAAUGUUAUCACGGGAGACACACGGCGGGUGCUAACGUCCGUCGUGAAGAGGGAAACAACCCAGACCGCCAGCUAAGGUCCCAAAGUCAUGGUUAAGUGGGAAACGAUGUGGGAAGGCCCAGACAGCCAGGAUGUUGGCUUAGAAGCAGCCAUCAUUUAAAGAAAGCGUAAUAGCUCACUGGUCGAGUCGGCCUGCGCGGAAGAUGUAACGGGGCUAAACCAUGCACCGAAGCUGCGGCAGCGACGCUUAUGCGUUGUUGGGUAGGGGAGCGUUCUGUAAGCCUGUGAAGGUGUACUGUGAGGUAUGCUGGAGGUAUCAGAAGUGCGAAUGCUGACAUAAGUAACGAUAAAGCGGGUGAAAAGCCCGCUCGCCGGAAGACCAAGGGUUCCUGUCCAACGUUAAUCGGGGCAGGGUGAGUCGACCCCUAAGGCGAGGCCGAAAGGCGUAGUCGAUGGGAAACAGGUUAAUAUUCCUGUACUUGGUGUUACUGCGAAGGGGGGACGGAGAAGGCUAUGUUGGCCGGGCGACGGUUGUCCCGGUUUAAGCGUGUAGGCUGGUUUUCCAGGCAAAUCCGGAAAAUCAAGGCUGAGGCGUGAUGACGAGGCACUACGGUGCUGAAGCAACAAAUGCCCUGCUUCCAGGAAAAGCCUCUAAGCAUCAGGUAACAUCAAAUCGUACCCCAAACCGACACAGGUGGUCAGGUAGAGAAUACCAAGGCGCUUGAGAGAACUCGGGUGAAGGAACUAGGCAAAAUGGUGCCGUAACUUCGGGAGAAGGCACGCUGAUAUGUAGGUGAAGUCCCUCGCGGAUGGAGCUGAAAUCAGUCGAAGAUACCAGCUGGCUGCAACUGUUUAUUAAAAACACAGCACUGUGCAAACACGAAAGUGGACGUAUACGGUGUGACGCCUGCCCGGUGCCGGAAGGUUAAUUGAUGGGGUCAGCGCAAGCGAAGCUCUUGAUCGAAGCCCCGGUAAACGGCGGCCGUAACUAUAACGGUCCUAAGGUAGCGAAAUUCCUUGUCGGGU
rnacentral:rRNA from 1 species